rnacentral:tRNA from 1 species
CGAGUUCCUGGGCGCGGGCCCAGUCCUCACCUUCGCCGCGGGUCAGCGCGAACAACUGAGUGGCCAGGAGUUCGAAGCCCUUGGUGUCGC